GGUUGUGGCUCAGUGGUAGAGUGCUAGUCCAGCAUGUGUGAGGCACUGGGUUCAAUCCUCAGCAGCACA
rnacentral:tRNA from 1 species